ensembl:snRNA U1 U1 spliceosomal RNA
UUGCUCUCAGUGUAGUUUCAGACACCAUGAUCAAGCAGGUGGUUUUCCCAGGGCGAGGCUCAUCCCUUGCAUUCUAGGUGUGCUGACCCCUGAGAUUUCCCCAAAUGCAGGAAAUUCAAAUGCAUAAUUUGUGGUAGCGGGGGACUGCGUUCGCGCUCUCCCCUG